AGUGAACGCUGGCGGUAGGCCUAACACAUGCCAGUCGAACGGCAGCACAGUAGGAGCUUGCUCUUACGGGUGGCGAGUGGCGGACGGGUGAGGAAUACAUCGGAAUCUACUUUUUCGUGGGGGAUAACGUAGGGAAACUUACGCUAAUACCGCAUACGACCUACGGGUGAAAGCAGGGGAUCUUCGGACCUUGCGCGAUUGAAUGAGCCGAUGUCGGAUUAGCUAGUUGGCGGGGUAAAGGCCCACCAAGGCGACGAUCCGUAGCUGGUCUGAGAGGAUGUUCAGCCACACUGGAACUGAGACACGGUCCAGACUCCUACGGGAGGCAGCAGUGGGGAAUAUUGGACUAUGGGCGCAAGCCUGAUCCAGCCAUACCGCGUGGGUGAAGAAGGCCUUCGGGUUGUAAAGCCCUUUUGUUGGGAAAGAAAAGCAGCAGGUUAAUACCCCGCUGUUCUGACGGUACCCAAAGAAUAAGCACCGGCUAACUUCGUG
rnacentral:rRNA from 1 species